GUGAGGAAUAUUGGUCAAUGGACGAGAGUCUGAACCAGCCAAGUCGCGUGAAGGAAGACGGUUCUAUGAAUUGUAAACUUCUUUUGUGCAGGAAUAAAGUGGGUUACGUGUAACCUUUUGUAUGUACUGUACGAAUAAGGAUCGGCUAACUCCGUGCCAGCAGCCGCGGUAAUACGGAGGAUCCGAGCGUUAUCCGGAUUUAUUGGGUUUAAAGGGUGCGUAGGUGGAUUGAUAAGUCAGCGGUGAAAGUUUGCAGCUUAACUGUAAAAUUGCCUUUGAAACUGUCGGUCUUGAGUGCAAAUGAGGUAGGCGGAAUGUGUUGUGUAGCGGUGAAAUGCUUAGAUAUAACACAGAACUCCGAUUGCGAAGGCAGCUUACUGGGAUGCAACUGACACUGAUGCACGAAAGCGUGGGUAUCAAACAGGAUUAGAUACCCGAGUAGUCC
rnacentral:rRNA from 1 species